UACUUAUAAUACACAACAAAUGUCCGUAAAAAUGAUGCAAUUUUAAAAUAAGCUUCACUGAAGCGUGCCAUGUUGAGUAACGAUUUUACCCUUUGUCCUAGACCUCAAGCCUUAUAAAGUUAUGUUUGUUUGAAACUCGAAUGUGGGGUAACUGUUGUGUUUCAGUCUCUAACCUAAUCUAGAUUACAAAAUUAUAUCCAGAUUGUGUAUGCACGUAACCAUUUUUAAUUUGUGUCCCCCCAUGUAGAAAUUUUCCAUCAUCAUGUAAAGGGUUUCAUGGGAGCGUGGUGUACUGUUUGGAAGUGCAGAUACACAGACCAUGGAGAAUGUCCAAGAAGUUCCAGUCAGAAUUUAAUUUUGUCAGCAAAGUAGAAGUGAACCACCCACAACUGCUAGUGCCACAGUCAGCUUCCAGUAACAAGAAGCUGUGUUGCCUCUGCUGCGCCUCAGGGCCCAUCUCCAUAGGCGUUCAACUGGAGAAGAAGAGUUUUGCUCCAGGUACCAAAACUCCUCAUAAGUGCAAUGUGCUGCUGCACCCAGAAUGAAGCAGGUGCUCUCCAUAGAAUGAAUUGACAUGAAUUGCACCAGUCUUCAGAGACCAUGUAGCCUAUCACCAUAACUAUGACUAACCACCUUGUUUUCCUUCUUGGUGCAGCAUUUACCCUUCCAAGUACUCAUAAAUCAGCUUUAUAAAUGUCAUUGUAACAGGUUCUGAAGUGCUUCUUCCCACAAACCACACAAUCCGUCGUUCCUAGAUGCACACAGACUUUGUGUGCUCAAUACAAAAAAACACGAAACACAAACAAAAC